rnacentral:rRNA from 1 species
CGGACGGGUGAGUAACGCGUAAGAACUUGCCUUUAGACUGGGAUAACAGAGGGAAACUUCUGAUAAUACUGGAUAAGUUAGUAUAUCGCAUGAUAUGCAAAUGAAAGCUACGGCACUAAAGGAGAGCUUUGCGUCCUAUUAGCUAGUUGGUAAGGUAAGAGCUUACCAAGGCGAUGAUAGGUAGCCGGCCUGAGAGGGUGGACGGCCACAAGGGGACUGAGAUACGGCCCUUACUCCUACGGGAGGCAGCAGGC